ACUGGUUCAUGCGCCAUUGUCGUCGGUCUUUCUUCGGCUAGAUAUAGGGAGCGGCCCCAGGGAGCCCCUUCAUCAGUGGUUCAUUGGUCUCUCAAGUAUGAAGGUGAGCUUCAUAAUAGAGUAGCUAGACCUAUCUGCCUUCCAUUUUACGAAUUUUGCUGGGAGCUAGAAGUAACUAUAUGGAGAAAGUUGCCAUCUCCGUUUACCUAAACAUGCAUAACACGUGUGAUGCUAUAGAAUUCUUGGGUCCUUGUGCAGAAAAAUCAUCAGUUCACGCUUCAAAAUCCUGUAAGUUUAGAUAUAUCACUAAAUAGGUUCGGAGAAAAAAAUCUGUAAGUUUGGUGUGUGUGCGGCUACAAUAUUGAAUUUCUUGUGAAAUCAUACUAGUACUGAUGAAUAUCGAGUUGAUUGAAAAAUGUAGUUGAUUCUUGAGACCCUUACUAGUGUCCGUCUACAUAUAGAAGUUGUGCCUGAUAGCCAUACACGACUUUCUCUCUGUUGUGAUGCUUGCUUGUGCAAAUUUCUUAGAACCUGUUUGGGUGAUAUAUUUAGACUACUCUUUUGUUCAAAUGAAAUCUCUCACCACUUUCUUUUCUAUUUGUUAAUUCUUGUAGUGCAUAAUCAAUGCAGAUGUGUUGUUUUGUCGUGAAGAUUUUGCCAGUAAACUAUGCAAAAAAGAAAUUAGAAGUGCCAAAAUGUUCAACUUGCAAACUAGUGGUAGUUCUAUAAUGCAACAUGCAUCAAAUAAAAAAUAGCAACCAUGCGUUGAAGCAAGAAAUCACGUCUGGUUUCCUAGUUUAGUACAUGAACUAUCCUCAGUUCAUGAAAAAUACAUAUAACAAUAUGGUGUGUGUGUGUGUGCAAUGCAGUAUAUGUGUCGAUCUUUUUUUGUUGAUAUAUGUUAGUAGUUGAUCCAUACAACAUACAUGAUGAUUAUAUUUUGCAAUUAUGUCUUGCACACAACUUGGUUUUGUCUAUAGUAAAUUUUUUGAUCGGAAAUUGUGAUCUAAGUGGUUUUUCAUAUAGGUGCAUCUAAUGAAGUGCAGGUCACUUCUGAUGUGCCAAAUGGCGCGUGUGUGCGUGUUGUGGGCUUGUCGUGUGCGUCCGCUGGUGCAUGCAUGGGCGCCUCCUGUGGCAUGCGAGCAUGUGUGCAGAUGUUGAUAGCUAAACUAAAUGGUUUCCAAGAUAUGUACUGCAAGGAAAAAUUCAUCAGUACUAGUGUGCCCUUUAUGCGGUAAGUCCUACAGGCUGCAACUACAUUCCUUCCAUGUAUGGUCCUCCUCACCAGAUGUUAUGAAGAAUACAUCUUUCUAAUACAAACUUUUCAAAAGUUUCUUUUUGAACUUCUCCUGGUUAAUAUACAUGAACUUGAUUAUCCUUUUAACAUGUACUUAUAUCAGCUUGUGGGGUUCUUUUUAAAACUAAUCUCUUGAACUUUUUAAAAGAAUGUUCCAUAAAUGUUUGUGAUCAUUGCUUGUAAGUAUUCAUGUGGACUUUAAAACAAUGACUGUUCUUGUAGGAGGUUUGAAGAU
rnacentral:lncRNA from 1 species